rnacentral:lncRNA from 1 species
GCCAGUUUACUAUUUUUCAGUAGUACCAUAAACUCUGUUUAAUCGUAUGCCUCUUACAUAUUUCAUGAUGGUUGUAUAUCAUAUAUUUCAAAUUUGAUAACAAAUAUAUGUGCGUAAUAACAGUUUCUUUACAGUAUUUUUAUGCUUUUUUGUUUUGUUUUUUUUUUCUGUCUAAGGUGAGGCUAGUUUGUUCCUUAUGAAUUCAAUUUUGUUUUCUCUGUCUUAGUCCAUUGCAUUGGUUAUGUCUACCCUCUCUGGUCAAUUAAUAUUUAAUCCCUUAUUUUAUACAAUUGGUUUGAUAUGCUCUACCAUUCUUUUCUAGACUUGUUUAUUUCAUAUAUAAAAUAAAGCUAUCAAACUGUCAUUAUGAUGUAACGCAUCAAAACAAAACAUGGGAAUUCGGUAAGGUUAGAAGUACUUUAUUCUUCUUUAUUGACUUU